UACAGAGGAGCCAAGCGUUGUCCGGAUUGACUGGGCGUAAAGCGCACGCAGGCGGAUGCGCGCGUGGGGUGUGAAAUCUGGCCGCUUAACGGCCAGGCGCCAUCCCAUACGGCGCGUCUGGAGUGAUGCAGAGGUCGGUGGAAUUGCCGGUGUAGUGGUGAAAUGCGUAGAUAUCGGGAGGAACAACAGUGGGGAAGGCGGCGACCUGGGCCAAUACUGACGCUGAGGUGCGAAAGCGUGGGGAGCAAACAGG
rnacentral:rRNA from 1 species